rnacentral:rRNA from 1 species
AAAAGAGCGCAAGGGGAAUGCCUUGGCAUCAGGAGCCGAUGAAGGACGUGACAAGCUGCGAUAAGCUUCGGGGAGGUGCAAAUGACCGUUGAUCCGGAGAUUUCCGAAUGGGGAAACCCGGCAGAGCAAUACUCUGUCAACCUGCGUUGAAUCAAAUAGGCGUAGGUGGGGAACCGCCUGAACUGAAACAUCUAAGUAGGGCGAGGAAGAGAAAUCAACCGAGAUUCCGCUAGUAGUGGCGAGCGAACGCGGAAGAGGCCAAACCAGAGGAUUUAUUCUCUGGGGUUGCGGACAGUCAAGAAGUGGGAAUUGGUUAGCCGAAAGGCCUGGGAAGGCCUGCCAUAGACGGUGAGAGCCCGGUAGGCGAAAAUCAAUUUCUAGUGGACUGGAUCCAGAGUACCACGGGACACGUGAAACCCUGUGGGAAACCGGGGGGACCACCCUCCAAGCCUAAAUACUACCUGAUGACCGAUAGAGGAGCAGUACCGUGAGGGAAAGGUGAAAAGGACCCCGGGAGGGGAGUGAAAGAGAACCUGAAACCUUGUGCUUACAAGCACUCAAAGCCCGUUAAUGGGUGAUGAGGUACCUUUUGUAGAAUGGUCCGGCGAGUUAUUGUUAUCAGCAAGCUUAAGGUAUUCAGUACCGAAGGCGUAGGGAAACCGAGUGUGAAUAGCGCGAAUAGAGUUGGUGGCAAUAGACCCGAAACCGGGUGACCUAUCCAUGGGCAGGUUGAAGUGGAGGUAAAACUCCAUGGAGGACCGAACGCACGUUCGUUGCAAUGACCGGCGAUGACCUGUGGAUAGCGGUGAAAUUCCAAUCGAACCCGGAGAUAGCUGGUUCUCCCCGAAAUAGCUUUAGGGCUAGCGUUAUGUUAGAUUACCGGAGGUAAAGCACUGAAUGGGCUAGGGGCUGAUAAAGUUACUGAACCCUAUCAAACUCAGAAUGCCGGAUAAUUGAUGCAUAGCAGUCAGUCUACGUGAGAUAAGUCUCGUGGACAAAAGGGAAACAGCCCAGACCCACAGCUAAGGUCCCAAAUAGAUGCUAAGUGGAAAACGAUGUGAGAUUGCCCAGACAACCAGGAUGUUGGCUUAGAAGCAGCCACACAUUAAAAGAGUGCGUAAUAGCUCACUGGUCGAGUGGUCUUGCGCGGAAAAUAUAACGGGGCUAAGCAUCUAACCGAAGCUUGGGCUUGUCUUAGGACAGGGGUAGGGGAGCGUCGAAUACGGGGUGAAGUCAGAGCGAGAGCACUGGUGGACUGUAUUCGAGUGAGAAUGCCGGAAUGAGUAGCGAGAAUUAUGUGGGAAUCAUAAUGGCCGAAAAUCUAAGGAUUCCUGGGGAAGGUUCGUCCGCCCAGGGUUAGCCGGGAGCUAAGGCGAGGCCGGAAGGCGUAGUCGAUGCACAUACGGUUGAAAUUCCGUAGCCACCUUAUCGAAUGAAAGCUGACACUUGGGGAUAGCGGAACCCGGAGAUUGGUAGAUCCGGGCGUAAGGGACCGAACACGAGUAGGGAAGUCCGCGAUGCCCUGAGGCGAGAAAAGGCGAAGGUAGGGUGCCCGUACCGCAAACCGACACAGGUAGAUGAGGAGAGAAUCCUAAGGCCAACGGGAGAAGGGUUGUUAAGGAACUCGGCAAAAUGACCCCGUAACUUCGGGAUAAGGGGAGCCUAUGUAACGUAGGCCGCAGAGAAUAGGCCCAAGCGACUGUUUACCAAAAACACAGGUCUAUGCUAAAUCGAAAGAUGACGUAUAUGGGCUGACGCCUGCCCGGUGCUGGAAGGUUAAGAGGAGAUGUCAGGCAACGAAGCAUUGAAUCGAAGCCCCAGUAAACGGCGGCCGUAACUAUAACGGUCCUAAGGUAGCGAAAUUCCUUGUCAGGUAAGUUCUGACCCGCACGAAUGGCGUAACGAUUUGGGCGCUGUCUCAACAGCCCACCCGGCGAAAUUGUUGUACUGGUGAAGAAGCCAGUUACCCGCAACUAGACGGAAAGACCCCAUGGAGCUUUACUGCAGCUUAAUACUGGAAUUCGGUAAUUCAUGUACAGGAUAGGUGGGAGACAUGGAAACCUGGUCGUCAGGUCAGGUGGAGUCGCCCUUGGGAUACCACUCUUGGAUUGCUGGGUUUCUAACCUGCGGCCGUGAAUCCGGUCGGGGGACACUGUUAGGCAGACAGUUUGACUGGGGCGGUCGCCUCCUAAAAGGUAACGGAGGCGCUCAAAGGUUGGCUCAGCACGGACGGAAAUCGUGCAGUGAGUGUAAACGUAUAAGCCAGCCUAACUGCGAGAGUGACGGCUCGAGCAGUAACGAAAGUUGGAGUUAGUGAUCCGGUGGUAUGUGAGUGGAAAUGCCAUCGCUCAACGGAUAAAAGCUACCCUGGGGAUAACAGGCUGAUCUCCCCCAAGCGUCCACAGCGACGGGGAGGUUUGGCACCUCGAUGUCGGCUCGUCACAUCCUGGGGCUGUACUCGGUCCCAAGGGUUCGGCUGUUCGCCGAUUAAAGUGGCACGCGAGCUGGGUUCAGAACGUCGUGAGACAGUUCGGUCCCUAUCUGUUGCGGGCGUAAGAGAUUUGAAGGGGGCUGUCCUUAGUACGAGAGGACCGGGAUGGACGCACCUCUGGUGCACCUGUUGUCGUGCCAACGGCACAGCAGGGUAGCUACGUGCGGACGAGAUAAACGCUGAAAGCAUCUAAGCGUGAAACUUUCCCUAAGAUAAGAUCUCUCAUCCGUUAAGGAGUAAGGCACGAUAUAGACGAUGUCGUAGAUAGGCCGGAGGUGGAAGUGCAGUAAUGUAUGGAGCUGACCGGUACUAAUCAGCCGAGGGCUUGACCU